rnacentral:lncRNA from 1 species
CAAAGAAGUAGCACCAAGCUUACCCCGUCUUACGACUUUCAUUGUCUGGCCCCGAUCUCCCACUUCUCAACCUCUUUAUCCUACCAAAAGAUAGAUUAUCGACCAGCAGAUUUCAAAGGUUAUGACCCUUUGAAUUCUUAACCAUUUCUUCUACUAACAAUCUACUGUUACUAACUAAACAACCUAACCAUCAGUCUAAUUCUCAAGGUUGUCAAUAAUCAACGAGUAACUUACCACAAAAUUUAUUCACCUAUUCUACAUAGCUCCAC